rnacentral:rRNA from 1 species
GACGAACGCUGGCGGCGUGCUUAAUACAUGCAAGUCGUACGGUAAGGCCCUUUCGGUGGUACUCGAGUGGUGAACGGGUGAGUAACACGUGAGUAACCUUCCCACAACUUUGGGAUAACGCUAGGAAACUGGUGCUAAUACUGGUUAUGUGCUCCUUCUGCAAGGUGGGGGUUGGAAAGCUCCGGCGGUUGUGGAUGGACUCGCGGCCUAUCAGCUUGCUGGUGGGGCAGUGGCCUACCAAGGCGGCGACGGGUAGCCGGCCUGAGAGGCUGACCGGCCACAUUGAGACUGAGGUACGGCCGAGACACCGACAGGAGGCAGCAGUGGGAAAGAUUGAACAAUGGACGCAAGCCUGGUGAAGAAGCGCCGCGUGCGGGAUGACGGCGUUAGGGUUGUAGACCGCAUUCAGCAGGGACGAUGCUUUUUGUGACGGUACCUGCAGAAGAAGCACCGGCUAACUACGUG